CGCAUGUAGAACGAACUCUUCGGAGUUAGUGGCGGACGGGUGAGUAACACGUGGGAACGUGCCUUUAGGUUCGGAAUAACUCAGGGAAACUUGUGCUAAUACCGAAUGUGCCCUUCGGGGGAAAGAUUUAUCGCCCUUAGAGCGGCCCGCGUCUGAUUAGCUUGUUGGUGGGGUAAUGGCCCACCAAGGCUACGAUCAGUAGCUGGUCUGAGAGGAUGACCAGCCACAUUGGGACUGAGACACGGCCCAAACUCCUACGGGAGGCAGCAGUGGGGAAUCUUGCGCAAUGGGCGAAAGCCAGACGCAGCCAUGCCGCGUGUAUGAUGAAGGUCUUAGGAUUGUAAAAUACUUUCACCGGUGAAGAUAAUGACUGUAGCCGGAGAAGAAGCCCCGGCUAACUUCGUGCCAGCAGCCGCGGUAAUACGAAGGGGGCUAGCGUUGCUCGGAAUUACUGGGCGUAAAGGGAGCGUAGGCGGACAUUUAAGUCAGAGGUGAAAUCCCGGAGCUCAACUCCGGAACUGCCUUUGAUACUGGGUGUCUUGAGUGUGAGAGAGGUAUGUGGAACUCCGAGUGUAGAGGUGAAAUUCGUAGAUAUUCGGAAGAACACCAGUGGCGAAGGCGACAUACUGGCUCAUUACUGACGCUGAGGCUCGAAAGCGUGGGGAGCAAACAGGAUUAGAUACCCUGGUAGUCCACGCCGUAAACGAUGAUAACUAGCUGUCCGGGCACUAGGUGCCUGGGUGGCGCAGCUAACGCAUUAAGUUAUCCGCCUGGGGAGUACGGUCGCAAGAUUAAAACUCAAAGGAAUUGACGGGGGCCUGCACAAGCGGUGGAACAUGUGGUUUAAUUCGAAGCAACGCGCAGAACCUUACCAGCGUUUGACAUC
rnacentral:rRNA from 1 species